rnacentral:rRNA from 1 species
UACGUAGGGUGCGAGCGUUGUCCGGAAUUAUUGGGCGUAAAGGGCUUGUAGGCGGUCUGUUGCGUCGGGCGUGAAAACUUACAGCUUAACUGUGAGCGUGCUUUCGAUACGGGCAGACUUGAGGCAUUCAGGGGAGAACGGAAUUCCUGGUGUAGCGGUGAAAUGCGCAGAUAUCAGGAGGAACACCGGUGGCGAAGGCGGUUCUCUGGGAAUGUACUGACGCUGAGGAGCGAAAGUGUGGGGAGCGAACAGG